AGCAGCCGCGGUAAUUCCAGCUCCAAUAGCGUAUAUUAAAGUUGUUGCAGUUAAAAAGCUCGUAGUUGAAUUUCGGGGUUAGUAGGUUGGUCGUGCCACUGGUAUGUACUGGCUUUACUGAUCCCUCCUUCUUGUAGAACCGUAAUGCCAUUAACUUGGUGUUGCGGGGAAACAGGACUGUUACUUUGAAAAAAUUAGAGUGUUUAAAGCAGGCUAACGCUUGAAUACAUUAGCAUGGAAUAAUGAAAUAGGACGCUCGAUCCUAUUUUGUUGGUUUCUAGGAUUGACGUAAUGAUUAAUAGGGAUAGUUGGGGGCAUUAGUAUUCAAUUGUCAGAGGUGAAAUUCUUGGAUUUAUUGAAGACUAACUACUGCGAAAGCAUUUGCCAAGGAUGUUUUCAUUAAUCAAGAACGAAAGUUAGGGGAUCGAAGACGAUCAGAUACCGUCGUAGUCUUAACCAUAAACUAUGCCGACUAGGGAUCGGAUGAUGUUAAUUUUUUAAUGACUCAUUCGGCGCCUUA
rnacentral:rRNA from 1 species